UACGUAGGGUGCAGGCGUUAAUCGGAAUUACUGGGCGUAAAGCGUGCGCAGGCGGUUUGCUAAGAGAGAUGUGAAAUCCCCGGGCUUAACCUGGGAACUGCGUUUCUAACUGGCAAGCUUGAGUGUGGCAGAGGGGGGUGGAAUUCCACGUGUAGCAGUGAAAUGCGUAGAGAUGUGGAGGAACACCGAUGGCGAAGGCAGCCCCCUGGGCUAACACUGACGCUCAUGCACGAAAGCGUGGGGAGCAAACAGG
rnacentral:rRNA from 1 species